rnacentral:rRNA from 1 species
UACGGAGGGAGCUAGCGUUGUUCGGAAUUACUGGGCGUAAAGCGCGUGUAGGCGGCUCGAUAAGUCUGCUGUGAAAGUCCAGGGCUCAACCCUGGAAUGCCGGUGGAAACUGUCGAGCUAGAGUCCGGAAGAGGCGAGUGGAAUUCCUGGCGUAGCGGUGAAAUGCGCAGAUAUCAGGAGGAACACCAAUGGCGAAGGCAGCUCGCUGGGACGGUACUGACGCUGAGACGCGAAAGCGUGGGGAGCAAACAGG